rnacentral:piRNA from 1 species
GUGGUGCUCUUUUUGAUAUUCUCUAUCAU